UCAGAGUUUGUAUGGCUCAGGAUGAACGCUAGCGACAGGCCUAACACAUGCAAGUCGAGGGGCAGCGGAGAGGUAGCAAUACCUUUGCCGGCGACCGGCGCACGGGUGAGUAACACGUAUGCAAUCCACCUGUAACAGGGGGAUAACCCGGAGAAAUCCGGACUAAUACCCCAUAAUAUGGGCGCUCCGCAUGGAGAGCCCAUUAAAGAGAGCAAUUUUGGUUACAGACGAGCAUGCGCUCCAUUAG
rnacentral:rRNA from 1 species